rnacentral:rRNA from 1 species
UACAGAGGGUGCAAGCGUUGUUCGGAAUCAUUGGGCGUAAAGGGCAAGUAGGUGGUUUAGUAAGUCGACUGUGAAAUCCCUGGGCUCAACCCAGGAACUGCGGUUGAUACUACUGAACUAGAGUGCUAGAGGGGUUCGUGGAAUUCUCGGUGUAGCGGUGAAAUGCGUAGAUAUCGAGAGGAAUAUCAGAGGCGAAGGCGACGGACUGGAUAGCAACUGACACUCAAUUGCGAAAGCGUGGGGAGCAAACAGG